rnacentral:rRNA from 1 species
AGGAAUAUUGGUCAAUGGACGAGAGUCUGAACCAGCCAAGUAGCGUGAAGGAUGACUGCCCUAUGGGUUGUAAACUUCUUUUAUACGGGAAUAAAGCGAGGCACGUGUGCCUUUUUGUAUGUACCGUAUGAAUAAGGAUCGGCUAACUCCGUGCCAGCAGCCGCGGUAAUACGGAGGAUCCGAGCGUUAUCCGGAUUUAUUGGGUUUAAAGGGAGCGUAGGCGGACGCUUAAGUCAGUUGUGAAAGUUUGCGGCUCAACCGUAAAAUUGCAGUUGAUACUGGGUGUCUUGAGUACAGUAGAGGCAGGCGGAAUUCGUGGUGUAGCGGUGAAAUGCUUAGAUAUCACGAAGAACUCCGAUUGCGAAGGCAGCGCACUAAUCCGUAACUGACGUUCAUGCUCGAAAGUGUGGGUAUCAAACAGGAUUAGAUACCCUGGUAGUCCACACGGUAAACGAUGGAUACUCGCUGUUGGCGAUAUACUGUCAGCGGCUUAGCGAAAGCGUUAAGUAUCCCACCUGGGGAGUACGCCGGCAACGGUGAAACUCAAAGGAAUUGACGGGGGCCCGCACAAGCGGAGGAACAUGUGGUUUAAUUCGAUGAUACGCGAGGAACCUUACCCGGGCUUAAAUUGCAAAGGAAUGAUCUGGAAACAGGUCAGUCUUCGGACCUUUGUGAAGGUGCUGCAUGGUUGUCGUCAGCUCGUGCCGUGAGGUGUCGGCUUAAGUGCCAUAACGAGCGCAACCCUCGCCGCCAGUUACUAACAGUUAAAGCUGAGGACUCUGGCGGGACUGCCAUCGUAAGAUGUGAGGAAGGUGGGGAUGACGUCAAAUCAGCACGGCCCUUACGUCCGGGGCUACACACGUGUUACAAUGGGCGGUACAGAAGGCAGCUACCUGGCGACAGGAUGCCAAUCCCUAAAGCCGCUCUCAGUUCGGACUGGAGUCUGCAACCCGACUCCACGAAGCUGGAUUCGCUAGUAAUCGCGCAUCAGCCACGGCGCGGUGAAUACGUUCCCG